AAAUCAUAUAUCCAUUCAUUUCUAACUUCAUAAACAAAAAUAUUCAACAAUUAGUUUACAUUACAAUACUUUCCAACAUUUACAUUCAUUUUCAUAUUAAUUACAAACCUAAAUCGAGUUCAACUUUCAAUCACCCUACAUCAUUUCUAAUUUAUCCAAAUACAUUACAACAAUAUCAAGAUAAAUCAAGGCUACAAGAUUACAAAUAAGGUUGUCAACCUAAGUUUCGUGUCCAACCACCAUCACCACGUGUUCAUCACCUACAAAAUUCAAUACGAAACAUAAGCAUUGCAGCAUGUCAUGGAGCAAAGGCCACACCACAAAAGCAACCAGAGGUGUGCAUCACCUGCCAUGUACACGAAUGAGACCGAGUUCAUAAUAGACUAAACCCAUUCUACGUCAUAAUAUUGCAGCACCCCAAUGCUGGAAACAUGGCCAAGACCCUAUUGUAAUGCAGCCUAACCAAGGACCACAUGAACCCUGCAAAAUCACAAGUCAACAAUGCAUAACGUCUCCAAUAGGAGGAUUCUGCAACAUCUCGCAGAAUUGUCGCGACCCUGAAACCCACACCCGAACCGGCAGCAGGACCAAAACAAAAACCUAACAGCUUCACACCAAUGGAACUCGCACCAACCUCCAAUAGAACCUAACUAACCUGCAAAAAAGGGAAAAGAAAUAGCAGUUAAAGUUUUAACUAAUAAUACUUAUCAAGGCAAAAGAGAAUUUUCUAAUGAGUCUUCUAUCAAGAAUACAUCACAAAAAACGAGUGCAGCUUCUUGGUUAUUACCGUGAAGAAGGAAACGGUAACUCAUAACUAAGAUGAAGCCAAAAGGUUCACAUUUAAUUUGAUGGCAGAGCACAUUAUGAGUUUGCAACCUGGGGAAAUAGAGACAGAGAGAUUAAAGAAAAAGUAUGUUACUUUCAUGAAAGGUGUUGUAUCAGCACCAUUGAAUUUUCCCGGAACUGCAUACUGGAAAGCAUACCGGAAAGCACCAUUAAAGGUAUAUCAUUCAUAACCCACUCUAGCUCGACACCUACCCCAAUUAUUAACAUAAUUCGCAUUGCACGUUCAACCGUUCAAUUAGCCAUGUCAUAGAAAUUUCCUAUCCAACCCUGCCCACGAACUUAACAACCAUCCAAAAGAACCGACUUUGAGUCUUCCAUAGCUUCUCCCUAACAGAAACAUAACCGAACUUCUCCUUCCUAUAAAACUAUGAUAAAUGUGAAAUUUGUUUAUUCUCUCAUUGUUAUAAUAAUAAUAAUAAUAAUAAUAAUAAUAAUAAUAUAAUAAUAAUAAUACUUAAUUAAAUAAAUUUUCAAAAUUUAUACAAUCGACCAAUAAAAAUUAUUAAUUUCCCAAAUCAUAAAAAUUGUUUUAAAUAUUAAAUGAUUGGACGGAAUACACCGGAAAUUACUUGAUUUGAUUACAAUGUAAAAACUAUUUUCUAUCUUUACUGUAUCUCCUAUUUUCUCUUAAAAAAUUUGGAUUCGGGAAAAAAUUUUGCGAAAAAAUAAACUUCUCUCUCGACUCUCACUUCUUCCCAGUCCCAUCGUCGUAAUCGCAGCUCCGUCGUCGUCGUACAAAUUCAGUCAACACAACCUUGGAAGUGACGCACAUAACCGCCGAUCCGGUGAGCUUGCUAUUCUUCUCCAAUUUAUUAUAAUCUCUUAUUGAGGUUUCAAAUUACGCUGCUGAAAGCUCAUGAUACUAUCCAGUGCUUGAAACAGUUUUUAACCGUUAUUUAUAUAUGAAUUUAGAAAUAUAUCUCUUUAUUUCAGUUAUCUACAAUUAUCGCAAUGGUUAGGAUCUGCAAGGUUUAAAAAACUGUCUUUCAUGAUUUCAAUUGGUAUGUCACGGAAGUCAUCGCGGUAUGAAUUAACACAAUUUGUUUUUAAUGAAAAACAGUGAAUAACCUAAUCGGUAUGGGCCCUCUCCAAUACCAUUCUGUAGAGGCCGUUUUUGCGGACAGUUUUUAAAACCUUGAGGAUCUGUUUUUUUUCUUCUUUCAUGUUUGCUGAAUUUGAUAGCUUAUUCUAGGCUUCUUGUUGAUUUGUUUCAAUCUGUUACUUUUAAUGGUUAUCACGUGUAGACUGUUGAGUGUGGAGGAGGGAUUCACUAUUCUAUGACACUCUGUGGUAGGUGAAGUGAAACUCAAAAUAAACUUCAUUAACAUGGGAAAAUUGAGUUACAAACUGGGUAGAUUUUAGUGAUAGUAGGAAGAAUUAGAAGCUUUUAGAUUGAGAAUGGCAGUUGGUUUUGGUGGUGAGUGAAAAUUAGAUGUGCCAAUGGAAGCAGGUUUGUCAAACUCUAGGUAUAAAAAAUCAAUAUCAAGUUAACUUCUGUUUCAUGGACCAGAGUUUCUUAGCUACAUAUUAAACACUGAGAGAUAUUAUGAAGAUUUCAAGUUUCGAGAAACCGACUGUAGGAUAUGCACUUGGAAAUAAUAGGAUAGGCCGGUGGAGAGCGGAAGAGAUGCAUUACUAUGCGCUUAUGUCAAACAGUACAGUCCUAGGGAAUGGAACCUUGUGUCUCAGUGCAUGAAUGCACCUCUUAACCGGAUGCAAAGUCGUGUUUAGAACGGUGGAAGAACUACCUCAAGCCGGCUAUAGAAAGGAUCUCUCACUGAGGAAGAGCAGCGCCUUGUCAUUAGCCUUCUAGCAACACAUGGAAACAAAUGGAAGAAAAUCGCUGCACAAGUCCCCGAUCGCACUCUAAGAGAUUAGGUGAGUGAUGGGAAGUAUUCAAAGAGAAGCAACAGAGAGAAACAAAAGGAAUAAACAAAACUGUUGAUCCACAUCAACGACAACAAGUACAAACAUAUACUCGAAAGUUUCGUGGAAAAUAGUGAAAGAGAGACUUCGCCUUUAUUUGUUAUGGUUGCUUCCACAGUUCUUAUCUUCAUACGCACAAGCGGCAACACCGGGAUUGCUUCCUUCAUUGGUUUCAAAUUCCAACAAUAAAUCACCUGUUAGGCGAAUUCCGCUUCAGUGACAUUAAGCCUCUCUCCUCGACUGUUGUAGCACCUCCUCCGUGGACGCAUCCUGUACGAGGACUGGACAAUGCGCCUCUUGUUCUUGGAACGUAGCUCCUCAAGGUGCUGUUCUAUUUUUCGACGAAAACAUGGUGAUGUCUGAUUUGGUAGAUUGCUGUAAGGAGUUGGAAGAAGGGCAUCAUGCAUUGGCAGCACAUAAGAAAGAGGUGGCAUGGGGGUUAAACCGAGUGGAGCUGCCGUUGGAGUCGGAGGAAAGCAAGUUUAAGGAGGGAGAAGAUGGAGGAAAUCGAAGCGAAGAUAAAAGCUUUGGGGGAGGAACAAGCAUCUGCCAUUGGAUAGAAUUGAAGGAGAAUAUAGAGAACAGUUAGCAGGGUUGAGAAGAGACGCAGUUACUUUUCCCGCAAAAUCUUCCUUUGAAGUUUCAACACAGUUUCAACAAUGGCGUAACCUCUAGCUCCGGCUCAACUCAGAAGUCUUUCUCGCCGCCGGCGUCACCCUCUAGCUCCGCCUCAACUCAAUUCUUUCUCGCCGCCGGCGUCACCGACGUCGCUACAGGAGGUGGUUCCUACGCGAUCCGUUUGUCCGGAGAUAAAGGAGCCACCGCGCAACUACUUGACUGAAGAGUGAGAAAGAGAAAACCUUUGAAAGAAUUCCAAGACAAAUCACUCAUUCACGGUUAUCGAAUCCAAGAACGCGGCAAGUUGCUCGAAUCCAACGACCUCUCGUCGUUGCAAGAAGCAAUAGACGAGUACGCGAAAACCAUGAAAGAAAGAUUCAAGAUAGUUUUCAAAUCGUUCACUCGUUUUUACCCUAACGCAUUCUCAUUCAAGCUCGCUAAAAUCCUCGAACUCCACCCGCCGCUUCAAAUACGAACUGAAAUUGUUGCUCUUAUCCAUGAAGUUCUUCCCCGAGGGGUAAACAAUCCAUUGAAUUCAUCUAUCCUCAUUGAACUUAAAAUCCCUCUUCUUCAUUCACUCAUGUUAGAAUCCGAAGAAAUUUUGUUUCGUUCCCUAUGCGAAACGAUCGGUCUCCUCGCUGACAGUUGUACCGCGUAGGGAACUCGCUGCAAAUUUGAAUCAAUCUUCUCUUGCCUGUUGGGAGGAGCUUCUCGAGUACCUAUCACGUGCAUUUCGGGAGAAUCCGAAUCAGAAAACAAGAAAGGGCUUAUAUUAUUAGCUGAAUUACCAUGGAUGUUGCUCUAAACAGAGAGUUCUGGCUGAGUCGAGGGAACUUCGAACUUGUCUUCGGAAACAUCUUGGAAUUUAUUUACUCGACGAUCAAGAAAUAAAGGAUUGGCAUACAAUGCAUCGAUUUCGUUGAUGUUAUUUCGAAGGUCUCCAGAGAACCGAUAUAUGUGAUUUUCUUGUGCCAUUUUGUUGAAUAUGUCGAUCAACACGGAGAAGAAGAUUCUAUGAAGUAGGCUUAAACGUUUGGUGAUUUAGUUUCACUGGAUGACGGAAGUAUCUUUAAGAGGAAACACGAUGUACUGUUUUGGUGUAUGAUUCGAAUAGCGGAGGCAACAGAUGCAAGCGAGCAACUGAGAUCUGAAGCAGUUUAUGUAAUCAAGGAGCUUGAUACCGCAAAUGUGAAUGUGAUGGAAUGUAUGAUCAAGAUUAUUUCGAGUACGAAGUGAGAAGGAUAUUUGCGGUUGCUAUGAAUAUGUUUUCGUAUGUUAUUGAUGAUCCUCUUUGGUAUGAUGUUGACAGUAGGAUUGUAAAGAUGCUGGUUGACAGAAAGUUUCCACCGUGGGCAAUUCCUGUUGGAUUCCUCUCUAUAGAUGGGAAUGAAAGGUCUUUGUUCCCACGGUAAUUGGGAUGAUAACAAUGAAAUAUUUACCGAGUAUUGAUUGGCAGCUACGUCAUGCAGCUAUGCUGGCCUUUGUACAAUUGCACAGAAUAACUUCAAAGAAAUGAACAUAAUUCAGAACUUUGAACAAGUUGCCAUAUUGGUCCUUAAGUCAUUGGAUGAGCAGAACAACAGAGUACUUUGGGCUACUAUGCAUGCCAUUGGCGAUUGAGUGAAUGUAAGAAACUGUUAUUGCGUGCUCAAUUUCAGAUGAAGUCUUCGAGAAGCUAGUUCCCAUCAUUAAAAGUAACUCUUGUGCCCGUGUACUGUCAUAUGCUCUCAUUGCCCUUCGUUCCUUGGUAAAACUUGUGACUUUGACAAAAUAUCACAUUUUGGGGAACAAAUUAUAACAUCAUUACUUUUAUUUCUUAGCAUGAAAAACAGAAGUUACAGACCGAAGCUAUGAUACCCUGAAGUCGUUUGCAGUUUUAAUGGCGGAAAAUUUUCGCAAAAAUUAUUACGAUACAACAAUAAAAGCACUGAGAGUUAUUGCGUUCAGUAGUUUACACAAACCUGUGCUAUGUGCCAAAUGUUUGAAAUGCAUCGUACAUCUUAUAAGGAAAGUUGGGCGAGAUAACUUCAAAGAACAAGAAGUUGUUCAGUUUGUGGAUCUCUAAUAAUUACUUGAAAGACAUCGAGUAAUGAAGACUAUUUAUUAAAGUGUAUCGUCAUAAAGGUUCUAGAUCAAAUCUGUCAAUUCCCAGAGUGAGUAUUGACAAAUUUAUCAAAGACAUCAUGCCAAUGUUGAUUGGAUCCAUUCAACCCCUAUAUUGACUUAAUGGACAAUAAGCUCAGUGAUGAUAGCCUAAAUGAUGAGAACAAAAAAUUGGUCGGCUAACANNNNNNNNNNNNNNNNNNNNNNNNNAUGAUUUGAAUUCAAACUUGAAUGUUGUGACAUAUUCCUGCACAAACGUAUAUUAUAUAUAGGUUGUUAUAGUCUUUUCUUGUUUCAGCAUUUUUCUCAGCUAUUUCUAGGGAUCAACAGCUAAGAAAAUCCAGAAACCAACAACCAAAGCUACAUUAAAGACCUAACAAAUUAGCCUAUUGUUAGUAAACCUAAUGUGGAAUUUAGGGGAACUCGCGUUUUGACCUUAAAAAUAUCGGAGGAGAACUCAAAGUACAACGGCCCAAGGUUCUUGCAAGUCUUUGCAAUAUAAAAAGGGAACCAGUUCCUUCAUUCAGAACUGGGAUUUAUAGGCGUGAAGAUUUAGUGUGUCUAUCAUACUUCACUGCUGUAUUUUGUGAGUCUUGUAUUAGACUAUCUUGUAAGUCAAGUUAUCAUCACGUAGUGAUUGCAUUGGUAUAGGGUGUUCAUUGAGUUGUAAGUGUUGUGUCACUCUAAGCUUUUAGCGUGAGUGCUGUGUAUCUUGAUUAAAGCUGUUAAGCACAAUCAAGAGUUGUUUGAAUGUGACUUCAAAAUUGUCUUAAUAUUAUUAAAGUAGUAAUCACUGAGGUGAUGAGGGGAGUGAGUAGGAACUCUGAUCUUAGUGUAAGAUUGAAAAUGCAUGGUAGGUAUUAAGUGAUAGGGUUAAACAGUUGGUUUAAGGUCUGAAUUAAUACUACUAAUAGUGGAUUUCCUCCUUGGCUGAUAGCCCCCAGACGUAGGUCAUGUUGGACUGAACUGGGGUAAACAAUUACUUGUUUAUAUUACUGCACUUACUUUUAAGUUUGCAUUAUUCUUGUCUGCGCAGAAUCAAGUGUCAUAACAACCCGUGUGACAUCGAAAGUCUGAUAAGAGAUUCAACAAGAUUGAUGAAUAAUGAAGAAAAAUAGAGUGUGGAGGGGAAAGGGAAAUUGAGAGAGAAUGUUGAGGGUGAGAAUAUUUUCAUUAUUUUUUAUGAGAAUGCCUCCAAGACAUUUAUACAAUUAUUACAUAGUGAUUGAGACUCAAAUACAUAAGCCAAUAACAGAAAACUAAAAAACUCGUGCUUGUAAUUAAAUAACUUUCAAUGUGUAACCGGUUAAUGCAGACGUUAACCGAUUACAACUACAUAUUUUCCCUGUUUUAAAGCUCAAAAGUGACUUUGGCUCCAAAGUUGCUAAGAAACCACAUCCAAUAACCUUUUUCGUCCUUCUUGAAGUGAAAAGCGCUCUUGAAGUAAUCUUUGAAUGCAAAGUUUAAUGCCUAGUAGAAUUUAAAUAGCAUAUGUGUCAACAUCAACACAUUGAAAAGCAAUUCAAUUGAAAUUAAGUAAUAACCGAUGACAGUAAGUGACUAACCUUAGUGGGAAAAUAACAAAUGACAUUGACGGUGUUCCUCUCCAUAGAGCAACCAAACCCUCAUCGACGAUAUGAAGAAAGAUUCCAUCAUAACUCGAGAAACCAGAUCGGUGGUGUAUCUGACCAAUUGAUCUUUUCAUGAUUGUAGGGUGCUGAUCAACCAUGGUGCCCUUUUCUGAAAAAUAUAGUCAAUCAAUAUCAAAUAAGGUUUCAUAAAUGCUAACAUAAAGAAAUAUAUAAUAAAAAAUUUAUUAUAUAAUCCUAACAAUAAAAAGUUUAUUUCAAGUAUAAUACAAUCAAAAUCAAAUUACAAACAUAAGAAAGAUUUGUCAUAUGCAAGCAAAAGAAAAAAAACAUAUUUAAAGCCCUACUUAUGAUAAAUCCACAAAAUCAAAAUUAACAAAUGUUAAACAAAAAAAAUAACACCACCACCAGAUACCCAUUAAUUUACAAAAAAUUAAAAAAAGAAUUGUGUAAAUAUACCAUUAAACAAUAACUUGAGUUUCCAAAAGACAUAUCACAUGUGAAAAACAAAGACAUAUCAAUAAGUGAAAUCUAACCAAAAACACACCAUAUUUCAUUCCCAACAAUUUUAUUCUUUUGAAAUCCUAACUCAUCUUCAUUAUUUUUGAAAAAGAAGGGAUGAAUCAUCUACUAAUGGUUGAAGAAGAAUGAUGAAAAUAAAUGAGAAAGUUAAAGUUAUUAGAACAAAAGUAGAUGAAAAAGAGGAAGGAAGUGAUAUAAAGGAAAGAAGAGAAAAAAGUGAAUGAGGAGAAAGACAAGAAAAGAGAAAAGAGAAGAGAAAAGAGAAAGACAUAGAUAUUUUUUGAAAAAAAAAAAAGGAUAUUUUUUUUGAGAAAAAAAAAGAAAAGGAACCAUCACUAUUUGCUACGUACAAAAGUCUUUGCUAUAAUUAAUCAUAAAAGUUUUAUUAGUCAAGGAAACUUAGUUGCAUAUCUUAUUUGUAAAUAAACAGGGGUGCAAACGGGCAUGCCCACCCGUUUAGGCCCGUCCCACAAAGCCCGCAAGAAAACAGGGCGGGGCGGGCGAUCAAAGUAGAGAUGCGGGCUCAUUACUAGGCCCGCCCCAUUUAAUGACGGGCAUGCGGGCAUGCCCGUUAUUCUCUUUAAAAAAAACCUUUUUCACUCAUGAUGAUAUAAUUUAAAAAAAGUACUCAUACAUCCUAAUACUACUAAAAUCUAAUAAAGUCUUUGCUAAAUAAUGUAUGUAAAAACACACUUGCAUUACAUAAAAUCACUAUCAUUAUCCUACAUCAUAAUUAAAUCAACAAACCUUAAAUUAAAUAUCACGAAUUCAACAUAAAUCAACACCACAAAUUCACAAAAGUUCAACUCCAUAAAUUCAACAAAAGUUACGAAAGAAGUCAUAAAUAGUUUAAUCUAACACAAAUAUUCAUUCAUCAUUGGACCAUAAACCACACUGUUUCCACCUAAUUCAAAUUCAUAUAUCCAUUCAUUUCUAACUUCAUAAACAAAAUAUUUCAACAAUUAGUUUACAUUACAAUACUUUCCAACAUUUACAUUCAUUUUCAUAUUAAUUACAAAACCUAAAUCGAGUUCAACUUUCAAUCACCCUACAUCAUUUCUAAUUUAUCCAAAUACAUCAAACAAUAUCAAGAUAAAUCAAGGCUACAAGAUUACAAAUAAGGUUGUCAACCUAAGUUUCGUGUCCAACCACCAUCACCACGUGUUCAUCACUACAAAUUCAAUACAAACAUAAGCAUUGCAGCAUGUCAUGGAGCAAAGGCCACACCACAAAAGCAACCAGAGGUGUGCAUCACUGCCAUGUACACGAAUGAGACCGAGUUCAUAAUAGACUAAACCCAUUCUACGUCAUAAUAUUGCAGCACCCCAAUGCUGGAAACAUGGCCAAGACCCUAUUGUAAUGCAGCCUAACCAAGGACCACAUGAACCCUGCAAAAUCACAAGUCAACAAUGCAUAACGUCUCCAAUAGGAGGAUUCUGCAACAUCUCGCAGAAUUGUCGCGACCCUGAAACCCACACCGAACGGCAGCAGGACCAAAACAAAAACCUAACAGCUCACACCAAUGGAACUCGCACCAACCUCCAAUAGAACCUAACUAACCUGCAAAAAAGGGAAAAGAAAUAGCAGUUAAAGUUUUAAACUAAUAAUACUUAUCAAGGCAAAAGAGAAUUUUCUAAUGAGUCUUCUAUCAAGAAUACAUCACAAAAAACGAGUGCAGCUUCUUGGUUAUUACCGGAGAAGAGGAAACGGUAACUCAUAACUAAGAUAGCAAAAGGUUCACAUUUAAUUUGAUGGCAGAGCACAUUAUGAGUUUGCAACCUGGGGAAAUAGAGACAGAGAGAUUAAAGAAAAAGUAUGUUACUUUCAUGAAAGGUGUUGUAUCAGCACCAUUGAAUUUUCCCGGAACUGCAUACUGGAAAGCAUACCGGAAAGCACCAUUAAAGGUAUAUCAUUCAUAACCCACUCUAGCUCGACACCUACCCCAAUUAUUAACAUAAUUCGCAUUGCACGUUCAACCGUUCAAUUAGCCAUGUCAUAGAAAUUUCCUAUCCAACCCUGCCCACGAACUAACAACCAUCCAAAAGAACCGACUUUGAGUUUCCAUAGCUUCUCCCUAACAGAAACAUAACCGAACUUCUCCUUCCUAUAAAACUAUGAUAAAUGUGAAAUUUGUUUAUUCUCUCAUUGUUAUAAUAAUAAUAAUAAUAAUAAUAAUAAUAAUAAUAAUAAUAAUAAUAAUAAUAAUAAUAAUAAUAAUAAUAAUAACUUAAUUAAAUAAAUUUUCAAAAUUUAUACAAUCGACCAAUAAAAAAUUAUUAAUUUCCCAAAUCAUAAAAAUUGUUUUAAAAUAUUAAAUGAUUGGACGGAAUACACCGGAAAUUACUUGAUUUGAUUACAAUGUAAAAACUAUUUUCUAUCUUUACUGUAUCUCCUAUUUUCUCUUAAAAAAUUUGGAUUCGGGAGAAAAAUUUUGCGAAAAAAUAAACUUCUCUCUCGACUCUCACUUCUUCCCAGUCCCAUCGUCGUAAUCGCAGCUCCGUCGUCGUCGUACAAAUUCAGUCAACCACAACCUUGGAAGUGACGCACAUAACCGCCGAUCCGGUGAGCUUGCUAUUCUUCUCCAAUUUAUUCAUAAUCUCUUAUUGAGGUUUCAAAUUACGCUGCUGAAAGCUCAUGAUACUAUCCCAGUGCUUGAAACAGUUUUUAACCGUUAUUUAUAUAUGAAUUUAGAAAUAUAUCUCUUUAUUUCAGUUAUCUACAAUUAUCGCAAUGGUUAGGAUCUGCAAGGUUUUAAAAAACUGUCUUUCAUGAUUUCAAUUGGUAUGUCACGGAAGUCAUCGCGGUAUGAAUUAACCACAAUUUGUUUUUAAUGAAAAACAGUGAAUAACCUAAUCGGUAUGGGCCUCUUCCAAUACCAUUCUGUAGAGGCCGUUUUUGCGGACAGUUUUUUAAAACCUUGAGGAUCUGUUUUUUUUUCUUCUUUCAUGUUUGCUGAAUUUGAUAGCUUAUUCUAGGCUUCUUGUUGAUUUGUUUCAAUCUGUUACUUUUAAUGGUUAUCCACGUGUAGACUGUUGAGUGUGGAGGAGGGAUUCACUAUUCUAUGACACUCUGUGGUAGGUGAAGUGAAACUCAAAAUAAACUUCAUUAACAUGGGAAAAUUGAGUUACAAACUGGGUAGAUUUUUAGUGAUAGUAGGAAGAAUUAGAAGCUUUUAGAUUGAGAAUGGCAGUUGGUUUUGGUGGUGAGUGAAAAUUAGAUGUGCCAAUGGAAGCAGGUUUGUCAAACUCUAGGUAUAAAAAAUCAAUAUCAAGUUAACUUCUGUUUCAUGGACCAGAGUUUCUUAGCUACAUAUUAAACACUGAGAGAUAUUAUGAAGAUUUCAAGUUUCGAGAAACCGACUGUAGGAUAUGCACUUGGAAAUAAUGAAGGAUAGGCAGCGGUGGAGAGCGGAAGAGGAUGCAUUACUAUGCGCUUAUGUCAAACAGUACAGUCCUAGGGAAUGGAACCUUGUGUCUCAGUGCAUGAAUGCACCUCUUAACCGGGAUGCAAAGUCGUGUUUAGAACGGUGGAAGAACUACCUCAAGCCGGCUAUUAAGAAAGGAUCUCUCACUGAGGAAGAGCAGCGCCUUGUCAUUAGCCUUCUAGCAACACAUGGAAACAAAUGGAAGAAAAUCGCUGCACAAGUCCCCGAUCGCACUCUAAGAGAUUAGGUGAGUGAUGGGAAGUAUUCAAAGAGAAGCAACAGAGAGAAACAAAAGGAAUAAACAAAACUGUUGAUCCAAUCAACGACAACAAGUACAAACAUAUACUCGAAAGUUUCGUGGAGAAAAUAGUGAAAGAGAGACCUUCGCCUUUAUUUGUUAUGGUUGCUUCCAACAGUUCUUAUCUUCAUACCGAUGCACAAGCGGCAACACCGGGAUUGCUUCCUUCAUGGUUUCAAAUUCCAACAAUAAAUCACCUGUUAGGCCGAAUUCCGCUUCAGUGACAUUAAGCCUCUCUCCCUCGACUGUUGUAGCACCUCCUCCGUGGACGCAUCCUGUACGAGGACUGGACAAUGCGCCUCUUGUUCUUGGGAACGUAGCUCCUCAAGGUGCUGUUCUAUUUUUCGACGAAAACAUGGUGAUGUCUGAGUUGGUAGAUUGCUGUAAGGAGUUGGAAGAAGGGCAUCAUGCAUUGGCAGCACAUAAGAAAGAGGUGGCAUGGGGGUUAAACCGAGUGGAGCUGCCGUUGGAGUCGGAGAAAGCAAGUUUAAGGAGGGAGAAGAUGGAGGAAAUCGAAGCGAAGAUAAAAGCUUUGGGGGAGGAACAAGCAUCUGCAUUGGAUAGAAUUGAAGGAGAAUAUAGAGAACAGUUAGCAGGGUUGAGAAGAGACGCAGUUACUUUUCCCGCCAAAAUCUUCCUUUGAAGUUUCAACACAGUUUCAACAAUGGCGUCAACCUCUAGCUCCGGCUCAACUCAGAAGUCUUUCUCGCCGCCGGCGUCACCCUCUAGCUCCGCCUCAACUCAGAAUUCUUUCUCGCCGCCGGCGUCACCGACGUCGCUACAGGAGGAUGGUUCCCUACGCGAUCCGUUUGUGCCGGAGAUAAAGGAGCCACCGCGCAACUACUUGACUGAAAGAGUGAGAAAGAGAAAACCUUUGGAAGAAUUCCAAGACAAAUCACUCAUUCACGGUUUCGAACUCCAAGAGCACGCGGCAAGGUUGCUCGAAUCCAACGACCUCUCGUCGUUGCAAGAAGCAAUAGACGAGUACGCGAAAACCAUGAAAGAAAGAUUCAAGAUAGUUUUCAAAUCGUUCACUCGUUUUUACCCUAACGCAUUCUCAUUCAAGCUCGCUAAAAUCCUCGAACUCCACCCGCCGCUUCAAAUACGAACUGAAAUUGUUGCUCUUAUCCAUGAAGUUCUUCCCCGAGGGGUAAACAAUCCAUUGAAUUCAUCUAUCCUCAUUGAACUUAAAAUCCCUCUUCUUCAUUCACUCAUGUUAGAAUCCGAAGAAAUUUUGUUUCGUUCCCUAUGCGAAACGAUCGGUCUCCUCGCUGACAGGUUGUACCGCGUAGGGAACCUCGCUGCAAAUUUGAAUCAAUCUUCUCUUGCCUGUUGGGAGGAGCUUCUCGAGUACUCUAUCACGUGCAUUUGCGGAGAAUCCGAAUCAGAAAACAAGAAAGGGCUUAUAUUAUUAGCUGAAUUACCACUGGAUGUUGCUCUAAACAGAGAGUUCUGGCUGAGUCGAGGGAACUUCGAACUUGUCUUCGGAAACAUCUUGGAAUUUAUUUACUCGACGGAUCAAGAAAUAAAAGGAUUGGCAUACAAUGCAUCGAUUUCGUUGAUGUUAUUUUCGAAGGAUCUCCAGAAGAACCGAUAUAUGUGAUUUUCUUGUGCCAGUUUUGUUGAAUAUGUCGAUCAACACGGAAGAAGAGAUUCUGAUGAGUAGGCUUAAACGUUUGGGUGAUUUAGUUUCACUGGAUGACGGAAGUAUCUUUAAGAGGAAACACGAUGUACUGUUUUGGUGUAUGAUUCGAAUAGCGGAGGCAACAGAUGCAAGCGAGCAACUGAGAUCUGAAGCAGUUUAUGUAAUCAAGGAGCUUGAUACCGCCAAAUGUGAAUGUGAUGGAAUGUAUGACAAGAUUAUUUCUGAGUACGAAGUGAGAAGGAUAUUUCGGUUGCUAUGAAUAUGUUUUCGUAUGUUAUUUGAUGAUCCUCUUUGGUAUGAUGUUGACAGUAGGGAUUGUAAAGAUGCUGGGUUGACAGAAAGUUUCCACCGUGGGCAAUUCCUGUUGGAUUGCCUCUCUAUAGAUGGGAAUGAAAGAGUCUUUGUUCCCACGGUAAUUGGGAUGAUAACAAUGAAAUAUUUACCGAGUAUUGAUUGGCAGCUACGUCAUGCAGCUAUGCUGGCCUUUGCUACAAUUGCACAGAAUAACUUCAAAGAAAUGAACAUAAUUCAGAACUUUGAACAAGUUGCCAUAUUGGUCCUUAAGUCAUUGGAUGAGCAGAACAACAGAGUACUUUGGGCUACUAUGCAUGCCAUUAGGCGAUUGAGUGAAUGUAAGAAACUGUUAUUGCGUGCUCAAUUUCAGAUGAAGUUCUUCGAGAAGCUAGUUCCCAUCAUUAAAAGUAACUCUUGUGCCCGUGUACUGUCAUAUGCUCUCAUUGCCCUUCGUUCCUUGGUAAAAACUUGUGACUUUGACAAAAUAUCACAUUUUGGGGAACAAAUUAUAACAUCAUUACUUUUACUUCUUAAGCAUGAAAAACAGAAGUUACAGACCGAAGCUAUUGAUACCCUGAAGUCGUUUGCAGUUUUAAUGGCGGAAAAUUUUCGCAAAAAUUAUUACGAUACAACAAUAGAAGCACUGAGAGUUAUUGCGUUCAGUAGUUUACACAAACCUGUGCUAUGUGCCAAAUGUUUAGAAUGCAUCGUACAUCUUAUAAGGAAAGUUGGGCGAGAUAACUUCAAAGAACAAGAAGUUGUUCAGGUUGUGGAAUCUCUAAUAUUACUUGAAAGACAAUCGAGUAAUGAAGACUAUUUAUUAAAGUGUAUCGUCAUAAAGGUUCUAGAUCAAAUCUGUCAAUUCCCAAGAGUGAGUAUUGACAAAUUUAUCAAAGACAUCAUGCCAAUGUUGAUUGGAUCCAUUCAACCCCUAAUUGACUUAAUGGACAAUAAGCUCAGUGAUGAUAGCCUAAAUGAUGAGAACAAAAAAUUGGUCGAGCUAACAAGAGUUCGGGCUUGUAAUACAUUGGCAUAUUGUGCUAUUCGGUCAUCUAUAAACUUUUCCCCCCACAUUAGCACGGUUGCUCCACUGUUUAUACGUUUGCUUGGUUGUUCUAGUUUUCAAAUUCGCAAGGCUUCUAUUUUAGGUCUUCCAAAACUAUUACUCUCACUUAAAGUAGGUGACAAAAGUAACGACACUAAAAGAGACAUGACUUUCGUCAUUGUACAAUCUUUGAUUGUAACAUUGAUGUUGGGGGAUGACAGGGAUUUGUCAGUAACAAUAUUGAGGUUACUUGUUAGAUGCUUUCAGAUCUCUAGUUCAUUUUUCAGUAAUGAACUGGUCAAGGUUAUUGCUGACGGAAUAAACGAUGCAGUAAAAGAGAUUAUUAAAUUUGAAAUGGAGAAAGCACAAGAAGUAGGAGCAUUGGAAGAUGAAAGGUUAUUGCUGACGGAAUAAACGAUGCAGUAAAAGAGAUUAUUAAAUUUGAAAUGGAGAAAGCACAAGAAGUAGGAGCAUUGGAAGAUGUUUUUGAAUCUUUAACAACAGACGAACUAAUUGAGGAAGUAAUUCACUUAAUAGCAACAAUGAUUGACACAUCUAGAGACCAAUUCUUGGUACAUGUUGACUAACUGAACUAAAGCUAACUGAACUAACUGAAAUCUAAAUAACUCAACAUGAUACGCUGACUUGGCAUACUCUGUUAUAACAGUAAUUGAGAAACAUAGCAUACAAAUACAUAAAUAUAAUAUGACUAUUGUAGACUAAGAAUGAUACUCUCAUAAUUAAUUUGGUUAUAAUUGUAAACUUAAAGUACUGUGUGUGUUUUUACUUUUUCUUGACUUUCUGUGUUAUUUACUUAUCUAUUUGUUUUCAGGGUUUGGUAUAAAGAUGGGAGUAGUUCAAAAGUUUUUCAUUGCAUCACUGUUCAUGUGGUCAGUCCCUCUUGCAAUAUUAUAUGCUUUCAACCAUAAUCUACUUCCUGGUAAGAUUCGUGAGUAGUUAUGCUUUGUGUCCUAAAGUGGGUGUUGACUUGUAUUCUUAUUUGUGUGUUUGAUAUUUUAUCGCUGUUAACUACAUAUUUUGAACACCCCUAACUUUAAGUGAGUGGGUGUUGACUUGUAUUCUUAUUUGUGUGUUUGAUAUUUUAUCGCUGUUAACUACAUAUUUUGAACACCCCUAACUUUAAGUGGAAAAAUAUAUGUUAAAUUGACUUGUAGUGUAUCAAAACAAACAUUGUUGCUUGUUUUUUCUGUUUCCUUGUUGAAGAGAUGGUAUCUCACUGAUAAGAGUCUCACAUCGGAUAAAAUAUGAUCUGAACGCAUGUUUAUAAGUGGGGACAAUUCUCACCUUACAAGUCGAUUUUGUAAGGUUGAGUUAGACCCAACCACAAUUGUUAAGAUAAUCAUGGGACUCUUAACACUUUAUUUUUUAUCAUAAAAAACUAAUAAUGAGAGCACUUUGGUGAGAACUGGUGAAAAGAAGUUUUGUUUCCUUAACACUGACUAACUUAGAAUUUGUUUUUCAAAAGACAUUGAAAUUAUGAGUUUCUCUUUGUCUUGUUUAUUGAGUGCUUCUCUUUUCUGCUGGGCAUAAUGGAUCUCAUCAUUCCCGGAAUACAGCUCAUCAUAAAAAAGAACGAAAGUUUUGAAACUACCUUAACGUGUUUCCUUUUCUGUAACAGGAAUUUCCAAUUUGUCCCCUUACUCUAUGACACUAGUGAGCGGAUUUCUUGCCGUCAUAUCUGUUAACAUAGUCAUUGCAUUUUACAUAUAUUUGGCAAUGAGAGAACCCGCAGAUAAACAUGAGCCUGAUCCUAAAUUUCUUGCUGAGGCCAAAGCUAGUAUAAACCAGUCUACAGGAGAUGCUCAACAAUCUUCCCAGCCUCUCAAGAAACAACAGUAGGUUGCUGUUCUUAGAUUUCUUGGUCGUAAAAGUUGUUUCUGUUCAUCUCGGGAAGGGAGGGGAGAAUGGGGAUGAAGGGAGAAGGUCCUGAAUUGUGUGUUGAUCAUACUUCUGUUAUGAAGUUUGCACACAAUCCAUCUUGUGCACAACUUGUUUUCAUUAUGUUAGUUUUUGUAUCAAUUUUAUUUAUAUAUUUUCAAGUUACUUUCAGUUCUGAAUAUUUGUGAUGAGGUGGCACUAUUAACUAAUUUUUUUCAAAGCCAAAAUAAAUUACUUUAUUAAAGAAUAACAUUCCGGCAUAUGAAAUGCCACUACUAGCUAGCCAAAAUUACAGAUACAUACAUCCAUAAGUAACAUGUAGCUAUUAUGCGACACAUAGGUUGAAUGAGUGAACUGGUGCCAGUAUUGAUAUUUGAGUCAAAGUGAAUCGAUGAAUUUAAUCCAUUUUUUCAUAAAUAUUUAAUAUAUAAUAAAAUAUAUUGAAUAUAAUUUAUGCAAUACAAAUAAAUAAUAUAAAUAAAAAAAAAUAUUUAAUAUUGUAUUAAAUAAAUUACUAUUUUAUUUUUUUACAAAUAAUAUAAUUAUUUAUAGAGACUACAAUUUUAAAAUAUCAACUCUUAGUCUUAUUAUAAUAGAGAUUACAAUUUUAAAGUAUCUACUCUUAUUCUUAUUAUAAUAGAGAAUACAAUGUCUAUUCUUACUCUUAUAGUUUAUUUCAAAUACUUUUAAAAAAAAAUAAUUGAUAAAUUUUUAUUUUUUAAUAUUUAGAUCAAUAUUUUUAUUUUCUGUUUCAUAUAAUUUCAAGGAAAAAACUAAAUUUAUUAAAAUUUUAUUACCUUACUAUAACUAUCAAAAUUUAUUAUAAUUUUCAUAGUUAGCUUCAACUAAAUAAUCAAUUUAUAAACGAUACAAAUUUUGGUGAAAAUAUUUUUAUUAAUAAGUGUCUUAUAUUUCUCUCAGUGAUUUAGUUUUUUCCGUACUUACAUUAAUGAAACACAUUUAUGCAUCAUUGAUUUAAUUGUAUAAGUUUUAAUUAAUGACAUAAAUCCUACUAUUAACUUGUUUAACUAAUUAAAAAAUAUCACGCUUUUGUUGGGUAACCUGUAUAACAAGUUACUUGAUAAACAAUGAUACAUUUGAAGAAAAUUCGAGAAUGAUUGAGGGAAAAAAAAUAAGAAAAUUGAUAUAGAUUUAGGUUAAAGAAGAAUUAGCGAGAGCAUUGACGGGGAAGAAUAAUUUGAGAGAUGAAAAAAAAUAAUGUUGUUGGUUUAGUGGAUGAGAGAAAUGAGACUUGAAUAGAGUUGUGUGGGUAUGAAGAUUCUGCAAAAUAAAACAUUGAAAAUGAAAAUAUUUUAUAGAAAGGAGUUUAAUUGAUUUAACAGGAACUCAAUUUUGAACUUGAAAUAACAUAAUUCAAUUGCAAUCUAGAGGAGGAAGAGGUAUUGGUAUGUUAAGAAAAGAUAAUUAGUCAUUCAUUUCAAACUAGUUGCUACAAGGCUUACCAACGGAGGGGAGAUUUCCUCCGGUCAGUUUUGAAUUAUUAUCGCCGACGAAUAUGCGAGAACCCCAAAGCGCUUCGAGUAAUACCUUCACUUCUUCUGCUAUUAUUGCGUACGAAUCUCCUUCAUCUUUACUUUCUUUAAACUCUGUGAUGCCGAAUCAUCCCGACAGGCCAUGUAAUGAUGGCUUCAUGAAAUUUGGAUUACUGCAGGGUGUAUCGAGAUGCAGGACCGAGGAUCUCAGGGUGAAGAAUCGACAUCAAGCUGUAAAACUGAAGCCUCCCGCUGUGGAAUGAUGAGACGGAUCUCCAGAAAAUCUAUGUUGCAGAGUUGGAGGAAGACGGAUAAUUGAAGAAUGAAGUUGAUGAAGAGUCAAGGCUCAAAGCUCCACCGUGUAGAGCUUCAAAUGUUGAAGUUCUCACGGCGAUGGGCGGAGCGUAUGAUGAGGAUGAGGAGGGAUUCUCAAAGAGAAAUGGAAUAUGAAGGUUGAACCGAAUCCCCAAAAUCCAAUCGAAUGAGGAUUCAAUUGGUUAAAUAGGGGAUCAAUCAUAACUAACUCGGGCAGGCUCUUGG
rnacentral:lncRNA from 1 species